UCUCCUCUUCCUCCUGCCUCGCGUCUCUCCCUCCCUCCAAACCCUAGGGCCGCUCGCGCCUCCCUGCCCGCCGCCGUCCCAGCCGCCGGCCGCCGCACCACACGCCCGUGCACAGGGUUGAGAAGGAGAACCACCUCCCGUCCCCGGAGCGCGAGAACACCGAGAAGGACGACCCCUCGCCUCUCUCCCUCCCUCCAAACUUUAGAGUCGCCCGCCCCUCCCUGCCCCGUCGCCGUCCCCGCCGCCGGCCGCCACCGCACCGCACGCCCAUGUGCAGGGGUGAGAAGGAGAACCACCACCCGUCCCUGGGGCGCGAGGAGGACGACCCUGACGUCGAGAUCGCGCGCAUCGAGCCCGAGAUCGUGCGCCUCUCCUCCCGCUUCCUCCACCUCCACGUCUUCCCAUGAGCGCGAGGAGGCCCAGGGCGACAUGGCACCUGUGCUCCCCAGUGCAGCCACUUCGCCGAUGGCCAGGUGAUCCGUUCCCCUGCCUAGAGGUGCUGGUGGUCUCCUUCAGUUCUGGCUUUUCAUUUUCCAUUGAUUGUGCGUCGGAUUUUUUUGCAGGAUUGUUGCUGUCUCCCGUUCCUCGAAUUCUCAUACAUGCCAGCGUCCAGUUUGUGCUCGGCUUCUUGCCAUAGCUACGUCCAUGAAUCUGCAAGUUUAGCCCUUCUCUCUUUAACCUUCCUUUCUUUAGCCCUCUAUUCUUUCUGUCCAUUCGAUUCGUCAACAAUAUUCGUGUGCACGAUUUUUUCCAUGGCAGGUGUAGGUUUUUUUAUUAAAGCCUAGGUGAUUUCCUGUGUCUUGGUUGGUGGUCUAUCUUCUUUUGGUUUCUCGUAUUGAUCCUGAGAGACCAGGCUGCUGUUCUCUUUGGAGGAGAGGCUUUUGUUGCCUUGCUUAAUUUUGUUUGGUAGUUCCCUUUGUGUUCGGUAGUGGGACAUGUGUUGGUCUACACAGGUAUUUCUUUUGUCUGCCAAAUGCUACCAGACAAACCAGUGCCAUGGUGGCUAGGAUGGGUCCUCUUAGAUGUCCAUUCGGAUUACAAAUUGUGGAGGGACCGGUCAACAUUUUUAGUAUUUUACUACAUGGCUGCUAAGUAUACAUAGAUUUAGGAAAACUACCUGCGGUAAUUCCUGCUCCGGCAUGCGUUUCUCUUAAUUCUUGAAUUAUGAAUUCAGACCAAGAUUUAUGAAUUCUAAUUAUUAGUUUGAUUUACAUUUUUGUUUUCAGUAUUGUGCCUUUUAUCCAAGGUGAUCAUAUGAAAUCUUUAAAUAACUUAUUAUCCAUUGGUUCCUCUGCCUGCUCAAUGGAAACAAUAUCGUGAGACAUAAUAGGGGGUAUAUUAGACAAAUACGCAUCUUUGUAGUGAAAUGCCAUGCUCUCAAGUAUCUUGCAGUGCCAACAUAUAGUUAAGAUGUAUUAGUAUCUUUGAAUGUUCCAACAAGUAGCCCGACUACUCAUACUUGUAGUAAUUUUAAGCUUCAAUUUAUUAUUUUUGUGGUUUCAAGCUAGGAUUAGCACUUCCUGAUGUUAUUUUUGGCUUUGGAUUGUAAGUAAACUCUUUUUAGAUGAGCAUCCUUUUCCACCGACAAAUAAUAGCCAAUCAAUAUUUCCUUGAUAUAUUUUGCAUUACCGAUAUACUUUACAUGUAGAGAUUAUCAACGUUUGUAUGAGACCAAUAAUAGUUGUCGAAAUUUUGUAGUUGUGUGCUAUUGCCUGCAAGAUACUGGAUUCUUAUAGAGUCAAUUAACUGGGAGAAUGAUAACUACAAAAGGCGUUGCUAAUCUUGACAUGAUGAAACACAUUACUCUGUUAUGUCCAUGAUGUUUCAGUCCUACCUUACUCCGCUGAAUUCUUCUACCUAUAAAAGGGGGACAGAGUGAACCUGCUGACAUAUCUUAAUUGUUAUGCUGUGAUUGAAUUGCAGUUGCUCGGUACCAUGAGAACGUGGAGAUGUGCAGGCUCAUGGAGCAGGUUGUGUUCUCGGAUCCAUACAUGGCCUCUAAAUACACUUGCUGGGAUUCGCCUCUUCUUGACGCUGAAGCGGUUCGAGAGGAUGAUGGGUUCAAGUGGAAAUUGCUGAAUUGAAAUAAAUGUUUAUUGAGAGAGCCCAGGCUCUGAUUCAUGGAGAUUUCCAUACUGGUUCCAUCAUGGUGACCACAGAUUUCACUCAAGUGAUUGAUCCAGAGUUUGCCUUCUACACACCAGUGGGUUACGGCAUUGGGGCUUUCUUGGGGAACUUGAUUAAUGGCAUAUUUUGCACAGGAUGGGCAUGCUGAUCAAAAAAAUGAUCGUAAAGUCAAAUGCAUAAUCAUACCCAGCUUUAUGUAAGUAGACAGUUGAUGUCCUAUAGAUCCGCAAUACCUUCAUUGUAGGUGUGACUGAUUAACAGACAAAAUCGUGGACAUUGGUGAGGUGGUGAUUGUGCCUUUCCUCUUUUGUAACAAGAUGAUUCUGUAUCAAUGUGCUGUCAUGAUGAAGAUACUGUGCCUCAUGUUGAUAUGGAGAGUAGAGAGAUGUGGAUUGCACCACCAAAGGAUCUUCUUGAGGUCAACACAUGUCCUGAGAAAUCAAAUAAAGAAAGGCGUGCGAUGGAUUAGAACAAAAAGAAGAAACUACAGCAUCGCAUAACUGCAGCAAAGAAGGUACUGCAUGAGAUGGAACAGGAUCAUAUUCUGGAAGCGAGGAACAGAAUCCCUGUUGUUCUAGUCUAGAGAGAACAUCUCUCUCGGCUAUACAACAAAGAGGGGUUACUUCACAUACCCAUCAGAAGUGAGGCUAAUAUCAUCUCUAAUCAAGUGAAGAAGCAAGGGCACAACCUUAGUUUUCUGUUGAAGGACUUCUAUUUCUCUCAUUCCAGAGGUGCUAGCCUGUGCAAGCAGUGACAAUGUACUUUUUAUUGAUCUAAAUCUUCAGGCUUCAUUCUGAAAUUUUGGGCCACGAACGCUUGAUCGCAAAAGUAACAGGUAUCAUGGUGAGGCCAGUUUCUGUUUUGCAUGUUGCCUUAUUUCUCUUCUAUCUGCAGUUUGCUUCCACGUUCUAUAUGUUUGUGAGGAAAUUUCAAAUCAUUUUGUAUGCUCAUCAAUUGUUGCAUCUGGAAUACAUAUGUCAACCAUGUACCUUAAGGAUUCCUUAAGGGCCUCAUGAUUGUUGGUGUUUUUUUUCAUACGAAAACACCAAGGUUAUUAUCCCAACUAUCAUAGUUUGUACCAGCAGGAUUAUCAUACAACUAAGCAUAUUAUUAUAGUUUUAGAUGUUAUUCCUUAGCAUAUUAUUAUAUCAACCGGAGGUGGAUGUGUUUUAGCUCAUUCGUUAUAACUGAUAUAUAUGAUUUAAAACUAAACAUUCCCAUGUCUUCUAAAUUAGUGCUCCCAUGCAGAGCAUAAAGUUUGUAUCAUGUUUUGUAUUUCUAUUAUAUUGUAUACUUGCUGAAAAUUUGUAGUGAUAAUUUUAAUGAAAAUCAUUAAAUGGGUAUUUUUUGAGUGUGUGGACUGUUGUUUAUUAACUGCAAGUAUUUAGCACCUUUAACAAAAUUGGAAGUCUUUUCCAUCCUGAGCUCAUUCCCAUGCCUACUCUGAAACAUUUUCCUAUGGAUAAGAGGGCCACAAUAACAACCAAUUGAUCAGACUUUGUAAGGUGGUAGGGAUGAAAGAAUAACGGAUAUGAGUCUUUCUUUGCCUUCAGGACUAAAAGGGGAAACUAUCGUUCACUGUCCAUAUACGCUUUAAAAGUCUAGGGUACAAAAUCGCAAAGUGCAUUGUAUACACAUGAAUCGUUCUGUGCCAUGUAUCUAACGGAUUGCCUUCAUCAUGUUAAUGUGACGUGCCGCCUAUGAAGUUGAUCGAUAAGGCAACCGAAUGAAGCAACUUAUUAGUAUGCCUAAUAGCUAUUGCUACGUAAUAUGUACCUUUUUAUUUUGUACCUUCUCUUAGUACUUCCUCUCUCAUGUUCGCGC